UGUGGGCGGGGCCGUGGGGCUUUCCGGAGCCCGAGCAAGGGCGCAGCUUCUGCGGCCGGGAGUAGCCAGACGAGGCGCUGGCUGCGCGGGGAGGCGUCCCAGAGGAAAACAAAAAGCCCUUUCUCCUGAUUCACCAAAAAAUAAAAGACUGACUGCCAUCACUGUGAUGAGAUUCCUAUAGUCUCAGGAACUGAAGUCUUUAAACAACCAGGGGACCCUCUGCCCCUAGAAUAAGAACAUAUUAGAAGUCCCUUCUGCUAGGACAAGGAGGAUGUUCUGUAUCUGUGAUGAAUGACCCCUGCAUAUAUUAUAUCUUUCGGUAAAAACAGUGGCGUUUCAGUAGCCAAGCUGCUUAACUCUCACAUUACAGAUGUCAGUGAAGCCCCUUGGCGACCCCAACUUCUUCGGGCCUCAAUUUCCUCAUCUGUGAAAUGGGGGUGA
rnacentral:lncRNA from 1 species